rnacentral:tRNA from 1 species
GCCAACAUGACAUAGUGGUUUGAGCAUUGGACUAUGACUCUGGAGCCUAGGGUUCAAAUCCCCACUUGGCC